rnacentral:tRNA from 1 species
GGGAAGUUGGCUCAGUGGUAGAGUGCUUGCCUCGCAAGCAUGAGGCCCUGGGUUUGAUUCCUCA